GGCCUUGCGCUCUUUGAGCGGCCGAUGUCAGAUUAGCUAGUUGGUGAGGUAAAGGCUUACCAAGGCGACGAUCUGUAGCGGGUCUGAGAGGAUGAUCCGCCACACUGGAACUGAGACACGGUCCAGACUCCUACGGGAGGCAGCAGUGGGGAAUUUUGGACAAUGGGGGCAACCCUGAUCCAGCCAUGCCGCGUGAGUGAAGAAGGCCUUCGGGUUGUAAAGCUCUUUCGGCCGGGAAGAAAUCGCAUGGGCCAAUACCCUGUGUGGAUGACGGUACCGGAAUAAGAAGCACCGGCUAACUACGUGCCAGCAGCCGCGGUAAUACGUAGGGUGCGAGCGUUAAUCGGAAUUACUGGGCGUAAAGCGUGCGCAGGCGGUUUUGUAAGACAGGCGUGAAAUCCCCGGGCUUAACCUGGGAACUGCGUUUGUGACUGCAAGGCUAGAGUACGGCAGAGGGGGGUGGAAUUCCACGUGUAGCAAAAUGCGUAGAGAUGUGGAGGAACACCAAUGGCGAAGGCAGCCCCCUGGGUCGAUACUGACGCUCAUGCACGAAAGCGUGGGUAGCAAACAGGAUUAGAUACCCUGGUAGUCCACGCCCUAAACUAUGUCAACUAGGUGUUGGGUGGGUAAAACCAUUUAGUACCGUAGCUAACGCGUGAAGUUGACCGCCUGGGGAGUACGGCCGCAAGGUUAAAACUCAAAGGAAUUGACGGGGACCCGCACAAGCGGUGGAUGAUGUGGAUUAAUUCGAUGCAACGCGAAAAACCAUACCUACCCUUGACAUGCCAGGAACUUGCCAGAGAUGGCUUGGUGCCCGAAAGGGAGCCUGGACACAGGUGCUGCAUGGCUGUCGUCAGCUCGUGUCGUGAGAUGUUGGGUUAAGUCCCGCAACGAGCGCAACCCUUGUCGUUAAUUGCCAUCAUUUAGUUGGGCACUUUAACGAGACUGCCGGUGACAAACCGGAGGAAGGUGGGGAUGACGUCAAGUCCUCAUGGCCCUUAUGGGUAGGGCUUCACACGUCAUACAAUGGUCGGUACAAAGGGUUGCCAAGCCGCGAGGCGGAGCCAAUCCCAGAAAGCCGAUCGUAGUCCGGAUUGCGGGCUGCAACUCGCCUGCAUGAAGUCGGAAUCGCUAGUAAUCGUGGAUCAGCAUGUCACGGUGAAUACGUUCCCGGGUCUUGUACACACCGCCCGUCACACCAUGGGAGCGGGUUCCGCCAGAAGUAGGUAGCCUAACCGCAAGGGGGGCGCUUACCACGGCGGGGUUCGUGACUGGGGUGAAGCCGUAACAAGGUA
rnacentral:rRNA from 1 species